CUGCAGUCGAGCGGAAGAUGGGAGCUUGCUCCCUGAUGUUAGCGGCGGACGGGUGAGUAACACGUGGGUAACCUGCCUGUAAGACUGGGAUAACUCCGGGAAACCGGGGCUAAUACCGGAUGGUUGUCUGAACCGCAUGGUUCAGACAUAAAAGGUGGCUUCGGCUACCACUUACAGAUGGACCCGCGGCGCAUUAGCUAGUUGGUGAGGUAACGGCUCACCAAGGCGACGAUGCGUAGCCGACCUGAGAGGGUGAUCGGCCACACUGGGACUGAGACACGGCCCAGACUCCUACGGGAGGCAGCAGUAGGGAAUCUUCCGCAAUGGACGAAAGUCUGACGGAGCAACGCCGCGUGAGUGAUGAAGGUUUUCGGAUCGUAAAGCUCUGUUGUUAGGGAAGAACAAGUGCCGUUCAAAUAGGGCGGCACCUUGACGGUACCUAACCAGAAAGCCACGGCUAACUACGUGCCAGCAGCCGCGGUAAUACGUAGGUGGCAAGCGUUGUCCGGAAUUAUUGGGCGUAAAGGGCUCGCAGGCGGUUUCUUAAGUCUGAUGUGAAAGCCCCCGGCUCAACCGGGGAGGGUCAUUGGAAACUGGGGAACUUGAGUGCAGAAGAGGAGAGUGGAAUUCCACGUGUAGCGGUGA
rnacentral:rRNA from 1 species